rnacentral:lncRNA from 1 species
CUGGAAUGCGUGUGUACCCAGCGGCCUUCUCCUUUUUCCAUAUUUAGUCUCCCCCGCCCCUCUCAUGGCAAAUUGUGUAAGUGGUUUUGAUUUAUGCCUCCUUCGCCUUUCCUACUAGGAAGCUCUGAGGUGAUUUAUGGACUCUCGGGAAUUGCAUGCAGCUUAAGUCAGGAACGCGUGUCUGAAUUCAUCCUCCUUAUAUCUGGUACCAGCAGAGGACAGGGUACAGGUGACCGGUAAACAAGUACCCCUAAGGUCACGGGGUAACAGGGCUCUGCUCAGUGUGUGGCCGGGUUUGCUUCCUCUCAUGGCUUUUCUGCUUUAUCAUUCAGGUAGCAGCCAGUGGAUUGUACAGGAAACGGGGUACGAAGUACGGCUUCCAUACAGGGCCAUUCCUAGUAUGAAGUGCCCAGGGCUCUGGAGUGUGAGAGUGGAGAAAGGCCGGUGCAGCGCCAGGAGCAUGCUGGGGACAUGGCUGGUACUCAUGACCUGGCAGCAGACGGAUGCUGUACAGUGAUGCCCGGAGCAUUAGACAUGUGCGGCUGGGAGCCCACGACCCACCGUCCCCUCUGUCUCGGCCCCUCCUAAGGAGGAGGCUAAGUUCUCAGGGCCACGCCUCCUGCCCCUUGCUUCCCAGUAAUUAGGAUGUCAGAGAAGGUUUGCUGGAGACCAAUGGGAGAAUCUUUAAUUAAAUACCCUGGGGGAGGGGGAGGCCUCUGCUAAGGCCUGGGUAUCUGAACAGCUGUGAAACUCGAGUGUCGAAAACCCAGAUACCCAGAUCACAAGAGAUGGUAUACGGAGGUGGGGCUGGGAAUAGAGGAGUUUCAGGGGCGAGCCCAGAGUAGAGUCCAUAGGUCUGUCUGUAAGAGUAGGGUGAAGGAAGGCCUUGAGUGGGCCUGCUGCUAGCUCAUAGUCCAAGGCCCCCAGGCUAUUCUCUGACACUACGCAAGGCCCAACCGGUACACAGGAAGUGCCACCUGCUCAUGUCCUUCCAAGAGCAAAGUGACUUUGUCUUUAACAGCCAUUCAGUCUUCUGUGAUAGGUUAUAGCCACAGGAAAUGGAUAGAAUCUCAGGUCACUGAGCCAGGUCCUUGGGGACAUAGCCUCUUUCCCUGCUAGCUGUUGGUCAGUGGGUCUUCCCUCUUGGAUGUGAAAUCACCCCAGUCAAGCUGGCACAGAGAGGUGUGCUGUCCUGCGGUGGCUGCUCUGAGACCUGUACACGAGACCACAGGCAUCAUCAUCAUCAUCAUCAUCAUCAUCAUCAUCAUCAUCAUCCCCCUGACGUUUCCUGAGAAAGCUGGAAAUGGUGUUGUAUGCCCCAGCGCGCAGGAGGCCAAGGCAGAAGGCUGUGUGUGAGUCCAAGGCCAGCCUCAAAAUACAUAGUGAGUUCCCUGACUCAAAAGAACACGUGUCAGGGGAGAAAGCUACACACUGACAAACACUGUGUUCAGACUCACUGUGCCUAAGACUCGGAAGCUCAAUGCAUCCCUCCCACGCUGUCUUGCCAGUUUACUGGUUCAAGUCCCAUGCAGACUCCCUCACUUGGCUUCAUACGCCUGUUGGUCUCACCAGGAGACUGGAGAUCUAAAUGGGCAUCACCAGGCAUGUCCCCUCUCUUUCCAGG